UACGUAGGGUGCAAGCGUUAAUCGGAAUUACUGGGCGUAAAGCGUGCGCAGGCGGUUUUGUAAGACUGUCGUGAAAGCCCCGGGCUUAACCUGGGAAUGGCAUUUGGGACUGCAAGGCUUGAGUGCGGCAGAGGAGACUGGAAUUCCUGGUGUAGCAGUGAAAUGCGUAGAUAUCAGGAGGAAUACCGAUGGCGAAGGCAGGUCUCUGGGCUGACACUGACGCUCAUGCACGAAAGCGUGGGGAGC
rnacentral:rRNA from 1 species